GCCGACAUCGCAUAGUGGUAUUGCAUCUGGCUUGAGACCAGAGCCCUUUGGGCCCCCCGGUUCGAUUCCGGGUGUCGGCG
rnacentral:tRNA from 1 species